rnacentral:lncRNA from 1 species
UAUCAAGGACAGCAGCGACACCCAGCUCCCUCCUGACGCUGCCACGCACCUCUCCAGUUUUCAGCGUUCACAGUUAACCUAUGAGUUUUCGUCAGCUCGCCGCCCAUGAGAACUCGGUAAGCAAUGACAUGGCAACGGUGACGGGUGGAGUGGCGCACGUCUCUUCCAGUUGUGAAAUAAGUGGACACGAGCAGUGAGAAUCACGGUUUACAGCACCAGUAGUUGCCUGGCUACGUAUGUCCAUGCAUCGAAACUGCAUCUUGGUUUGGCUUCAAAGACGGUACCGUUGGCAUUCGGGGUUAGUAUAUCUGCAAGUUACAAAUGUGUUUGAUGAAUGUGAGUAGUAUAGAUAUAUUUAGAAUGGAAAGUAUUUUGAUAAUAUGAUGUGUUUGGAACUAUGUGUAAAACUUUUGCAAAACAAAAAGGCAA